rnacentral:sRNA from 1 species
GCCGUCUCGGUUCGAUCGGGAUACUCAUCAAAUUUCGUUGAAAACCAGGGCUGUCUUCUCUUGUCAAUGGCGGGCCACUAACCAAGCAUCAAAUCACGAAUGCCGGUGGAUUACAAAGACGGAGAGCGCCCCCAACCUGUGAUAAAGGAGUUUUCAUCACAUCACUCUGGCGGCC